rnacentral:rRNA from 1 species
UACGGAGGGUGCAAGCGUUAUCCGGAUUCACUGGGUUUAAAGGGUGCGUAGGCGGGCAGGUAAGUCCGUGGUGAAAUCUCUGAGCUUAACUCAGAAACUGCCAUGGAUACUAUUUGUCUUGAAUGUUGUGGAGGUAAGCGGAAUAUGUCAUGUAGCGGUGAAAUGCUUAGAUAUGACAUAGAACACCAAAUUGCGAAGGCAGCUUACUACACAAAAUAUUUGACGCUGAGGCACGAAAAGCGUGGGGGAUCAAAACAGG